GAAAGACCAAAAGACACUGAGGAUGGACCCCAAUCCCCCAGCAGCCACCUGGAGUAAAGAGCCUUGCUGAAGGACACAGCGGUGGUGACGACUGCAGAGAUCGAACCAGUAACCUUCUGCUGACCAGUGCAGUGUUUUAGCCCACUACACCACAAAAUCGUGCUCAUGGAGAGCAGGCACAUGAAUGUUUGGAGCAGACACAGCAGCAGCCAGAUUGUCCCGCAUGUGUUCACCUGCUCUUGCUUCAAGAUUGUGUGGUACAGGGGGCCUCAUCCUCUCUGUGCACUCAGGCAAUGAUAGCCUCGAUGUCCCUUUCUCUUCCAUGAUCAGAUUCAGUCUGACUGCAGCAGUGAGGGUCGUGAUGGAGGGCAGAGACAGGUGAAGGUGGACACAGUGGUAAGCUGCUUCAUCAGAAUAAAGCUGCAGAACUGUCUCAGCUGUGUUAAGAUGCAGUAGAUGU